GGAAAUAUACCUUAAGGAAAUGUGCCUGAACACUAAAGGGUCACUAUGAUAAAGUGAACAUAGAGGUAUACCAGCCCUCUCAUUUCCU
rnacentral:tRNA from 1 species